rnacentral:rRNA from 1 species
GACUACUGGGGUAUCUAAUCCCGUUUGCUCCCCUGGCUUUCGCGCCUCAGCGUCAGUUGCUGCCCAGCAAGUCGCCUUCGCCACCGGUGUUCUUCCCAAUAUCUACGCAUUUCACCGCUACACUGGGAAUUCCACUUGCCUCUACAGCACUCCAGCACCGCAGUCUCAACCGCAUGCCCGGGUUAAGCCCAGACAUUUAACAGCUGACUUGCAGCACAGCCUGCGCGCCCUUUACGCCCAGUAAUUCCGGACAACGCUCGUCCCCUACGUAUUACCGCGGCUGCUGGCACGUAGUUAGCCGGGACUUAUUCGUACAGUACCGUCACUUCCUUCUUCCCGUACAAAAGAGGUUUACAACCCGAAGGCCGUCUUCCCCCACGCGGCGUCGCUGGGUCAGGGUUGCCCCCAUUGCCCAAUAUUCCCCACUGCAGCCCCCCGUAGG